GUGUCACACGCACUGGCUGUGCUAGCUUCCACGUGGGCUCCAACUGCCAGACACCCCAGAGUUUCACACAAGCUAUCGCUGACUGCCGGUGCGUGUUUGAAGUGGGCCACAGGGGCUGGGCAUGAUAUGAGCUGCCUGGACAUUGGAGGAGGCUUCCCCGGAAUGGAGGGCUCCGGAUCCAAGUUUGAGGAGUUGGCAAGAGUGAUCAGUGCUGCCCUGGCCCAGGACUUCCCUGAGGAGUGUGGUGUCAAGGUCAUCGCAGAGCCUGGCCGCUUCUAUGUGGAGUCUGUCUGCACGGCCGCUGUCAACAUCAUUGCCAAGAAGGCUGUGCUGGAGCCCGGAGGCAGCCGGAAGCUGAUGUAUUAUCUCAAUGACGGCCACUAUGGCUCCUUCCGCCUCUGCCACCGACAGCCUGUCCCAAGGGUUCCCAUCGUGGUGAAGGUAAGGGGGCCACUCCAGCCCCAAGAGUCUAGUCCCUUACCUUGAGGUGCCUUGUGCCUCCCCCACUGGGAACAGUGGCUGUGCUGGACCCCAGAGGCAGGUCCUGGCCUGCUGCAUAGAGCACACGUGGACACGUACAGGACGUGUGCUCGACAGGUCAGAGCACGUGCAGCAGCUGGAUAUGUGGGCCUUGUCAGGCAAAGGGAUGAUCACCAGAACACAAAGGCAUGGGCUGUUUUCCCAAAUAUUGAAGUUCUUCUCCCUGGUGGCUUAAGAGCCAUUCCUUCUCCCUGGUGGUUAAAGAGCUGUUCCCCCAAGUCCACCAGGGGCCUCCCUGCCGACACCCUUGCUGCUCAGUCCCUCCCAUGAUCUAGCAACAAAGCUUCAAUACCUGACCCUGUAGGGC
rnacentral:sRNA from 1 species